CAGUCGCCGCGGGAACACGUAGGGUGCAAGCGUUGUCCGGAAUUAUUGGGCGUAAAGAGCUCGUAGGCGGUUUGUCGCGUCUGCUGUGAAAUCCCGAGGCUCAACCUCGGGCUUGCAGUGGGUACGGGCAGACUAGAGUGCGGUAGGGGAGAUUGGAAUUCCUGGUGUAGCGGUGGAAUGCGCAGAUAUCAGGAGGAACACCGAUGGCGAAGGCAGAUCUCUGGGCCGUAACUGACGCUGAGGAGCGAAAGCGUGGGGAGCGAACAGGAUUAGAUACCCCUGUAGUCCCUGUCUCUUAUAC
rnacentral:rRNA from 1 species